AUGUACUUUCUCUCCCUCUCUAUCUGUUUCCCUGUCUCUCUCCCUCUCUCUCUCUCCCUCUCUAUCUGUUUCCCUGUCUCUCUCCCUCUCUAUCUGUUUCCCUGUCUCUCUCCCUAUCUCUCUCUCUCCCUAUCUAUCUGUUUCUCUCUCUCUCUCCCUAUCUAUCUGUUUCCCUUUCUAUCUGUUUCCCUAUCUCUGUCCCUCUCUCUCUCCCCCUAUCUAUCUGUUUCCCGUUCUCUCUCUCUCUCUCUCUAUCUCUCCCUCUCUCUCCCUUUCUCUCCCUAUCUAUCUGUUUCCCUGUCUCUCUCUCUCUCUCCCUAUCUAUCUGUUUCCCUUUCUAUCUGUUUCCCUUUAUAUCUGUUUCCCUGUCUCUCUCCCUAUCUAUCUGUUUCCCUGUCUCUCUCCCUCUCUCUCCCUAUCUAUCUGUUUCCCUCUCCCUCUCCCUUUCUCUCCCUAUCUAUCUGUUUCCCUGUCUCUCUCCCUCUCUCUCCCUCUCUCUCCCUAUCUAUCUGUUUCCCUCUCUCUCUCUCUCUCUCCCUAUCUAUCUGUUUCCCUAUCUCUCUCUCUCUCCCUUUCUCUCCCUAUCUAUCUGUUUCCCUGUCUCUCUCCCUCUCUCUUCCUAUCUAUCUGUUUCCCUCUCUCUCCCUCCCUUUCUCUCCCUAUCUAUCUGUUUCCCUGUCUCUCUCCCUCUAUCUCCCUAUCUAUCUGUUUCCCUGUCUCUCUACCGCUCUCUCCCUCUCUAUCUCUUUCCCUUUCUCUCUCUCUCUCUCUCUCCCUCUCUCUCCCUCUCUAUCUCUUUCCCUUUCUCUCUGCCUCUCUCUCCCUCUCUAUCUGUUUCCCUGUCUCUCUCCCGCUCUCUCCCUAUCUAUCUCUUUCCCUUUCUCUCUCUCUCUCCCUCUCUAUCUCUUUCCCUUUCUCUCUCUCUCUCUCUCCCUAUCUAUCUCUUUCCCUUUCUCUCUCUCUCUCUCCCUAUCUAUCUCUUUCCCUUUCUCCCUCUCUCUCUCUCCCUAUCUAUCUCUGUCCCUUUCUCUCUCUCUCUCUCCCUAUCUAUCUCUUUCUCUUUCUCUCUCUCUCUCUCUCCCUAUCUAUCUCUUUCCCUUUCUCUCUCUCUCUCUCUCUCUCCCUAUCUAUCUCUUUCCCUUUCUCUCUCUCUCUCUCUCUCUCUCCCUAUCUAUCUCUUUCCCUUUCUCUCUCUCUCUCUCUCUCUCUCCCUAUCUAGCUCUUUCCCUUUCUCUCUCUUUCUCUCUCCCUAUCUAUCUCUUUCCCUUUCUCUCUCCCUCUCUAUCUGUUUCCCUGUCUCUCUCCCUCUCUCUCCCUCUCUAUCAGUCUCUCCCUGUCUCUCUCCCUUCUCCCUGUCUCUCUCCCUCUAUCUGUUUCCCUGUCUCUCUCCUUCUCUAUCUGUCUCUCCCUGUCUCUCUCCCUCUCUAUCUGUCUCUCCCUGUCUCCCUGUCUCUCUCCCUCUCUCUCCCUCUCUAUCAGUCUCUCCCUGUCUCUCUCCCUUCUCCCUGUCUCUCUCCCUCUAUCUGUUUCCCUGUCUCUCUCCUUCUCUAUCUGUCUCUCCCUGUCUCUCUCCCUCUCUAUCUGUCUCUCCCUGUCUCUCUCCCUGUCUCACUCACUCUCUCUCUGUCUCUCUCCCUCUCUAUCUGUCUCUAUCUGUCUCUCUCACUCUCUAUUUGUCUCUCUCACUCUCUAUCUGUCUCUCCCUGUCUCUCUCCCUUCUCCCUGUCUCUCUCCCUCUAUCUGUUUCCCUGUCUCUCUCCUUCUCUAUCUGUCUCUCCCUGUCUCUCUCCCUCUCUAUCUGUCUCUCCCUGUCUCUCUAUCUGUCUCCCUGUCUCUCUUCCUGUCUCUCUCUCUCCCUCUCCAUCUGUCUCCCUGUCUCUCUCCCUGUCUCACUCACUCUCUCUCUGUCUCUCCCCCUCUGUCUCUCUCCCUCUCUAUCCGUCUCUCCCUGUCUCUCUCACUCUCUAUAUGUCUCUCCCUGUCUCUCUCCCUGUCUCUCUCACUCUCUAUAUGUCUCUCCCUGUCUCUCUCCCUCUCUCCCUGUCUCUCUCUCUCUCUAGCUGUCUCUCUCUCUCCCUGUCUCUCUCAUUCUCUCUCUAG
ensembl:lncRNA